GAACAAAACAUUUGACUCUUGGGAAAAGCAAAACCAGUGCCCUGUGAUGCCUUCAUGCAUUAUGAGACUGGGACCUGACUACAGAUGAUUAUACACUGAUAAAUACUGCCACCAAUGCUCCAGUCGUACUGCUGGUCUUCCCAGUUGUGUUCAGCCCUGAGGAAAGCCUGACCACUGGAAUGCUCUCUCUCUGCUGGGUGUUGGAAAAACUAGACUAGAGCAGCAAGAGUGCAGCAGCAUCCCAUCAACAGCCACGGGGUUGUCUUUAAAACAGGACUGGACUGAGUGGUACCAUGGGCAAGAGCCACAAGCAGAGGGGAGUUUGCCAGAUCCUGUUAGAGCCCUGAUGGAUGACUGCUGUUCAAUGUGAGUUCCAGCAUCAGACACCUGUUUGCCAGGGCAAUUGUGCAAGGAGAGAGCCUGCCUCUACAGCCAAUGUGGAAAUGGUGGAUGAAAAUGACCAAACAGCAAAGGCCUUUCUCAGCCUGCAUGGAUAGAUGUCUUGAGGUGCACAGUACUCCCGAGCAGCGCAGAUCAUUCCUGCUCCCAGCACUCUCACAGCUGGGUGAGAAGAUAUCUGGGAACACUCUCUGUACUCUCUGUGCAUUGGUUGUAGCAUCUCUGGUGCUGUGGAAGUCCACAUCUGUGAUCUUUCAGCAAAUUCUCUCUGUGACACACAGCGGCUUGAGGGAUGUCCAAGUGAUUUGA
rnacentral:lncRNA from 1 species